rnacentral:rRNA from 1 species
CCUACGGGAGGCAGCAGUGGGGAAUAUUGCGCAAUGGGCGAAAGCCUGACGCAGCGACGCCGCGUGAGGGAUGAAGGUCUUCGGAUCGGAAACCUCUGUCAGCAGGGAAGAACGGUCACUGUGCUAAUCAGCAGUGAAUUGAAGGUACCUGCAAAGGAAGCACCGGCUCAAUCCGGGCCAGCAGCCGCUGAAAUAAGGAGGGUGCGUGCGGUAAUCGGAAUUACUGGGGGGAAAGCGAUCGCAGGCUGUAUGUUAAGUCAAGGGUGAAAUCCCCGCGCUCCACGUGGGAACUGCCGUUGAAACUGGCAAACUUGAGUGUGUGAGAGGAUAGUGGAAUGCCUGGUGUAGGAGUGAAAUCCGUAGAUAUCUGGCGGAACAUCGGUGGCGAAGGCGACUAUCUGGCACAUAACUGACGCUGAGGAGCGAAAGCGUGGGUAGCGAACAGGAUUAGAUACCCGUGUAGUC